rnacentral:lncRNA from 1 species
UGAAAUGCGUUUCCCACUAAUUUAGCAGCGCUCUUUAAUUUUGGCACAAAGGAAAGGAGAUCACCGAUUUCCAAGCACCAACAAAAGGCCCGUUUAAUUUUGAUCUCAUUACGUCUUGGUUUCGAGUUCUCAGUUUCUUUCCUAACGUGCAGAGGGAAGAAGGAUUCAUAUUCGAUUCAGCGAAUAGAGCUUCAAGCUCUUGGGGUGUUGGAUUGGCAGAUGCGAUCCAUCACCUCCUUCUCGUUCCUCCGCUUCUUCUACUCCAUCCAGGCUCCUCUCCUCCAUGCUCUCAAGGCCCCUUAAUAGGGGAGGAGUUCCAAGUUGUGGCAUAUCAUGAAGACAAGGGAGCAAACGACUUGAGAUUCAAGAAGUGGAUUCUUCAGCAAAAUUUCAUAUGGAAGCUGAAAUUAACUGUGAUGUCUAUCUUCUCUAGGUUCGACUGCACUUGGCUAAAUGAAAAUGAGCUUCACCAGUUAAAUUUUUUAUGCUCCUUCUUCUAUAAAUAAGCAGUAGGCGGCCACGAAAGGAAGAGGACGUCUCCUCUUCUCCGCUCCUCCUCGCCUCGCCGUCGCCUGUCUCGUAUUCGUGGGGCUGCAGCCGGAUCGCCCUGGCUUCGGGCCUAAGUUCUUCAACCGGAGGACGGCCCGACCUUUACUUAUACCAUCUUGGCCCGAGACUCGGUAGAACCCGAGCGGCUAGGGCAAGCAUAAAAUCCCAGUCCAAUGGAGCAGGGAGGUCACCGGUCGACGGCGAGGCAGCGUGACGUGCAGCGAGAAAGGGAGAGAGAGAGACGG